UACGGGGGGGGCAAGCGUUGUUCGGAAUUACUGGGCGUAAAGGGUGCGUAGGCGGCUUUUUAAGUCGGAUGUGAAAACUCUGGGCUCAACCCAGAGACUGCAUCCGAAACUGGAGAGCUUGGGUUCUGGAGGGGAAAGCGGAACUCCUGGUGUAGCAGUGAAAUGCGUAGAUAUCAGGAGGAACACCGGUGGCGAAGGCGGCUUUCUGGACAGAUACCGACGCUGAGGCACGAAAGCUAGGGGAGCAAACAGG
rnacentral:rRNA from 1 species